rnacentral:siRNA from 1 species
UACAUUAACGGUUUAACUAACGGC